AGAGUUUGAUUAUGGCUCAGGACGAACGCUGGCGGCGUGCUUCAUACAUGCAAGUCGAACGAUAAGGCACCUUCGGGUGUACAUAAGUGGCGGACGGGUGAGUAAUAUGUAGAGAAUCUGCCCUAGAGAGUGGGACAACAGUUGGAAACGACUGCUAAUACCGCAUAUGAGCGUACCUGAAAUGGUAUUCUUGAAAACUCCGGUGCUCUGGGAUGAGUCUGCAUCUGAUUAGCUAGUUGGGGGUGUAAUGGACCACCAAGGCGACGAUCAGUAGCUGGUUUGAGAGGAUGAUCAGCCACAAUGGGACUGAGACACGGCCCAUACUCCUACGGGAGGCAGCAGUAGGGAAUUUUGCGCAAUGGGGGAAACCCUGACGCCAGCAACGCCGCGUGACCGAUGAAGCCCUUCGGGGUGUAAAGGUCUGUCAGUGGGGACGAAUAUUGACGGUACCCACAGAGGAAGCAUCGGCUAACUCCGUGCCAGCAGCCGC
rnacentral:rRNA from 1 species